CAAAGAGUAGUUUUAAAAAAAAUAUUAAUUUUGGAGAUUAAUGAUAAAAAGUAUCUUUUUUCUUUGA
rnacentral:tRNA from 1 species